GCCUGCCCGGUGCCUGAAGGUUAAAAGGAGGGGUGCAAGCUCCGAAUUGAAGCCCAGGUAAACGGCGGCCGUAACGAUAACGGUCCUAAGGUAGCGAAAUUCCUUGUCGGGUAAGUUCCGACCUGCACGAAUGGCGUAACGACUUCCCCACUGUCUCCAGGAUAUGCUCAGCGAAAUUGAAUUCUCCGUGAAGAUGCGGAGUACCCGCGGUUAGACGGAAAGACCCCGUGCACCUUUACUGCAGCUUCAGAGUGGCAUUAGGAAAGAGUUGUGUAGCAUAGGUGGGAGGCUUUGAAUCUUGGGCGCCAGUCCAAGGGGAGCCAUAGGUGAAAUACCACCCUGCUGUUUUCUGAUGUCUAACCAACUACCGUUAUCCGGUAGUGGGACCCUCUGUGGCGGGUAGUUUGACUGGGGCGGUCGCCUCCUAAAGAGUAACGGAGGCGCGCGAUGGUAGGCUCAGGCCGGUUGGAAACCGGCUGCGAGAGUGCAAUGGCAUAAGCCUGCCUGACUGCGAGGCCGACGGGCCGAGCAGAGACGAAAGUCGGUCAUAGUGAUCCGGUGGUCCCGAGUGGAAGGGCCAUCGCUCAACGGAUAAAAGGUACGCCGGGGAUAACAGGCUGAUGGUGCCCAAGAGUCCAUAUCGACGGCACCGUUUGGCACCUCGAUGUCGGCUCAUCUCAUCCUGGGGC
rnacentral:rRNA from 1 species